rnacentral:lncRNA from 1 species
CUCCGACAGGCUGCGCUCUAGUAAGCUGGAAGGAAGCAAGUAUAUUUGAGAGAGGAUCUUCCAACAUUCAGUGAGAAAGGGAAGCAACGGAACUGAGCACUACAAGGGACAGAAGAUGAAAUAAUCCAAGCACCUGAAAUAAAAACCUUCAGCUGAGAAAAAGAGGCAGCUGCUGCAGAGUUAACAAGAAAGCCAAGAUCUCUGCUGAGACCAUCUAAAUAUAUAUCAGGCCUUAAAAUAAAAGAACACAAGCUAAUGCUCACCACUGCAGGGAUGGCCGUCUUCUUUCUCCUACUCAAAACCAAAUGGUUAAAUAUGCCCAAAUGCACAUUCAGGGGUCGCUCAUGCUGCCUUCUUCGCCCUGCAAGAAGAAGCAAAACAACAUGCUAUCACCAAGGAUUUUUAUUGUUAGUGCUAUUUCAGUUGAUAAAACGUACUUAAUAUAUAGCAAGCAUCUAGAUUAAAAUACUGCUGUAACGUUUCUUAAAAUAGGGAGAGAAGUGAAAAGAAAAAGAAACUGACCAUAUAUUGAAUGUGAUAAAUCAGCCCCACCUAAUCAGGAAAUUCUAGAACAAAGGAAUAUCUCAGGAACCUCAUUUUUAAUAUUUAUUAAAAUAUGAUUGAUAAACAAAAGUUGCAUGUAUUUAGGGUACAGAAUGUGAUGUUUAUAUAUAUUUU